UACGAGGGGGGCGAGCGUUGUUCGGAAUUAUUGGGCGUAAAGGGGGCGUAGGCGGGUUGAUAAGUCUUGUGUGAAAUCUCUGGGCUCAACCCAGAGUCUGCAUAGGAAACUGUCGGGUUUGAGUAUGGGAGAGGUGAGUGGAAUUUCCGGUGUAGCGGUGAAAUGCGUAGAGAUCCGGAGGAACACCGACGGCGUAGGCAGCGCCCUGGCUGUGAAUAAAGCUGACACUGAGGCACGAAAGCUGGGGGAGCAAACAGG
rnacentral:rRNA from 1 species